rnacentral:rRNA from 1 species
UACGUAGGGGGCUAGCGUUGUCCGGAAUCAUUGGGCGUAAAGCGCGUGUAGGCGGUCCGGUAAGUCCGCUGUGAAAGUCGGGGGCUCAACCCUCGGAUGCCGGUGGAUACUGUCGGGCUUGAGUACGGAAGAGGCGAGUGGAAUUCCUGGUGUAGCGGUGAAAUGCGUAGAUAUCAGGAGGAACACCGGUGGUGUAAACGGCUCUCUGGACCGUAACUGACGCUGAGGCACGAAAGCGUGGGUAGCAAACAGG